ensembl:lncRNA
AUGAUGUUUGUCUGUUGCUUUAGUGAUCAAAAUGAUGAACAGGAACAGAGAAUACCCAUUCAUGCUAGCGGAACAAAAUGGAUACAAUACAAUGUACUAACUCUUUUUUUCCUUGAAAUGCAUACUGACAAAGGUACUAACUGUAUACUUUUAGGGCCCGUUGAUUGCGACAGCUUUUACAAAUGGAUACCAUUGAACAGGUGUUCGGUUGCCAUCUUAUUGGAGCAGAGUCUAUCUGGUGGUCCAGGGAAGACAGACCGAACCUUCUAAUUGGCUCUGUGUACAGGUGAUGUCAUCCAACUUCAAGCACUACAGCAUCACCCAGGAGAAAUGGUGGAACCACAUAAAAAAAAAUCAUCUCAGAAAGGAAAGAAAACUGCUGUACCAUAAUCCAAACCUGUAACCUGACAACCUGGUUUGUUAUGACAUUUCUUGAUGAUUUCAUUCACUCUUUUUCCUUCCUUUUAUUAGUUGUUUGAUUAGCUUUACAGAGAGGCAUUUUGGUUUGAUCCUAAUUAUUUGUGUCAUUUUUUGAUUUUCUCUUGUAGUGUAUGUAUGUAAAUGGAUAUGCUUCUCUCUUUCGGGGGUCAUAGUCGAGAAUGUACGAAGUAAUGUGUUCACAUUUGGUACCAAUUCGUUUAAUCAAAAAAGAUCAGAGCUUUAGGUGUCUUUUUGCACAUAAAAGAAAUCCAAAGUGGAAAGUCUUGGAAAAAAACAUCAAUUUCAUUUCAAAUGAAAAUUCGAGAGGGUAACUAACUAAUAAAUCUUAGUAGCUGUUUUUAAUUAUUGUGAUGUCUCAUUGUUAACCAUAAUUACCUAUUUUUGGGCAAUACAAAGAGGACUCCAAUAUUUUUAUGGUCCUUUUUUACAAGUGGUGUUUUUGUUGUUUAGAAAGAAAUAUGUAUACUAUAAAACAUUUCAUAUAAAUACAUUGUGAAUUCAAAGACUUAAGAAAAAGAAAUGUAACUGUAAAUACUAUUCCAGUCAUUGCAUAUAACCAACUCGAUGAGAGAAUAGCAUAUUUUUGUGAUGGUGUGUCAAAGAAAUGUUCUAGCGCGUGAAUAGGAAAAAUAGCUCUAAACAAAUACUAUUAUCCUUUACUGCUCAGAGACAGUGACUACCCCAGUGAUGGACACAACACAUUUCAACACUGAUGGCUUGCUCUGUAAAUACUCAAGCUGAAUAACUUUACAAGUGUCAAACCAGUGCAUUUACAAGUGGUGAGUUCAGCGCACAGUUUUAAAAUGGAUAAAAGAUCAUCGGUAUCUUUUGUCUAACCAAGUGUUAUUUAAGAGAUCAAUAUUAUUUGAGUGAUCAUUUAAUCCAAAGCACACUGUACUUAGUGUUGAAGAAUAGAACUUGAGCCUAAACAUUUUACAGUACUCUGCGCAUCCAGACACUUUUAUACUCCUGAGAGAAAACCUCAACUUGUUGUUUGUUGUUUUGUUGUUGUUGUUUGUUUCCUCCUGCUUGUUCCUCUUAAGUUUGGGACUCCAUCAGUUCUCUGUUGAAGGAAUUAGGAAGGAAAACAUUUUGAUACCGUACCUCAGCCCUGUGAGUUAUACCUUGGAAUCGUUGAGAGGUUUCAUUUAUUUUACUGGCAAAUAGAUUCAAACAUUGAAUGGGGAAAAAAAUGUAUAAAUCAUUGCACUGUGAGCAGUAAAGAAAGAACAGGCCAUUUCCUAUUUGCACAUGUAUAUGUUGGCUAUUUAAAAUGGUCCUGUCUCUGGGGUGAAGUAUGAAGGAUUAUUGGAUGUUGCUCCUCUCUAGAAUAGGCAUACACAAACAGCUUGGCAAAUAGCAAUUAACUGAUUAAUUACUACCAAUGUGUUGUGGUCAUGUCUUUGGAUUUCAUUGUAUUGUGUACGCCAACUUCUAAUCUAAAAUAUUGAUGCUAUUUUAGAUCCAGCCAAUAGAAGACACUGAAUAAAUUAUUCAUCCUGGUAACCAUAGCUGCUGCGCUAAUUUCUUACACAGUAUGUGUAGGGACAGGUUUUGCUCAAUUAUAGAGACAUUUAACGACAUGCUUUAAAGUGCAGUAAGAUUUGUAAACAUGAUGAUGGAAUGAGUGGUGUAUAUUCUGAUGUACUUUUCCUGCUGCAAAUAUGUUUGACAAUUCAUUUCACCUGAUGUUUCAUUUCAUUAGCUCUUUGGUUCAGAACAACCAGGUGAAGA